CAGCUUAUGUCAAGCAUUUAAGAAUAUAUAAGCUUGGAUCUAAAUUCGAUAGAUACUUGUUCGUAGGGUAUCCGAAGAAAAUUAAAGGAUACUACUUCUACCUCGCUACAAAGUAAAAGAUAUUUGUUAGUAGCAGAAUAGCCUUUUUGAAAAAAGAGUUUCUUAGAAAAGGAGCUAAUACUUGUAAAAUUGAACUUGAUGAAGUUCAAGAGGUGAAAAGACUGACACGCAC
rnacentral:lncRNA from 1 species